GAUGAACGCUAGCUACAGGCUUAACACAUGCAAGUCGAGGGACCGGCGCACGGGUGAGUAACACGUAUCCAACCUGCCCUUUACUCGGGGAUAGCCUUUCGAAAGAAAGAUUACUACCCUAUAGAAAGGAUGGGGAUGCGUUCCAUUAGGUUUUUGGUGAGGUAACGGCCCACCAAGCCUUCGAUGGCUAGGGGUUCUGAGAGGAAGGUCCCCCACAUUGGAACUGAGACACGGUCCAAACUCCUACGGGAGGCAGCAGUGAGGAAUAUUGGUCAAUGGGCGUUAGCCGGAACCAGCCAAGUAGCGUGAAGGAUGAAGGCUUAUGGGUCGUAAACUUCUUUUAUAUAAGAAUAUGUAUUAGAUGAAUAAGGAUCGGCUAACUCCGUGCCAGCCGCCGCGGUAAUUC
rnacentral:rRNA from 1 species